GAGGGCAUAGCUCAGCAAGUCAGAGCGGAUGCUUCACAUGCAUCAGGUCGAAGGCGCGAAUCCUUCUGCUCUCACCA
rnacentral:tRNA from 1 species